rnacentral:rRNA from 1 species
GAUGAACGCUAGCUACAGGCUUAACACAUGCAAGUCGAGGGGAAACGAUAGAGAAAGCUUGCUUUUUCUAGGCGUCGACCGGCGCACGGGUGAGUAACGCGUAUCCAACCUGCCCAUCACUUGGGGGAUAACCUUGCGAAAGUAAGACUAAUACCCAAUGACGUCUCUAGAAGACAUCUGAAGAAGAUUAAAGAUUUAUCGGUGAUGGAUGGGGAUGCGUCUGAUUAGCUUGUUGGCGGGGUAACGGCCCACCAAGGCGACGAUCAGUAGGGGUUCUGAGAGGAAGGCCCCCCACAUUGGAACUGAGACACGGUCCAAACUCCUACGGGAGGUAGCAGUGAGGAAUAUUGGUCAAUGGACGAGAGUCUGAACCAGCCAAGUAGCGUGCAGGAUGACGGCCCUAUGGGUUGUAAACUGCUUUUAUAAGGGAUAAAGUGGGAGUCGUGACUCUUUUUGCAUGUACCUUAUGAAUAAGGGACCGGCUAAUUCCGUG